AGUGUGUUUGCGGUGCGGCUCUGAACCCUCUCAGUGAGUUUUGGAGGCACAAACAAAACUCUGUGUCUUUAUCAUGUUAGCCCAUGGUUUGAACUUACAGAAGUAUUUUUACUGGGGUUCUGUCUUCUCCUGUCCCCUGCCGUACCAAGACACCUAUCUCUGUGUCUAAAGGAUCCAUGGACGGAUGCUCUCCUCAGACUUGACCCUUUUCCAGUUUGGAGGGCCUGUUGGUGAGAUGCAGGAGAGACUGGCUUGGAUGGACAAGUCUACCCUGAGUUUUGUAAUGUGGAUUGCAACGUGACUGAGGAUGAGGAAGGCUCGAGUGUAAUGAUCCCUGGCAUGCCACCCUGAUCCCUGAUGAGCAAGCUCUCCCUUCUCAUCACUACAGGCGGUCUCAAGUUUACACAGUUACGAGUCACAGGUUUGCGAUAACCUUGACUGAAAAAAGCACGUAUGGGCUUUGAACUGAGAGUCACAAAUUCUGGUUCUUGGCUUGGCUCUCAACGCCCUUUGCUGUGAUGUUGUUGUUGAAGCUCACAUAAAGUCAGGACCUUUAUGCCUGUUCUAGAUCCACCUGCUGGGACUCAAGAAACCUCUUGUAAGAAA
rnacentral:lncRNA from 1 species